AGUGCAGAGCGGUCGAGCUUCGGUAACACAACUGUCUUAUCUAUGAGGACACUCGCAUUCUAUGCUGGGAGCGCCCAGAAGCGCACUUCUCGUCUGAACCGGACGUAAGGGCAUAUGGUGUUGUAUCGUCUGGUGCGCUGCGGUCGAUAGUGCGCUUGACGGCGUUGGACGAUGUAAGGCGCACUUGAACGUGCCUGGUCGCGGUUUCGACUGUCGACUCAGCCUCUAUAACGUCUAGGCGUUUUCUCUUGUUUUGUAAGUCGCGGAAAACGUACAAUAGACAACGCAGCUCCAUAGCACAAUACACACAAAUUAGUCGAGCGCACGGUGGGAGGUCGGUUGCGUCUCGACGGCAGCGAGCAGGCUGCACGCUUUCUGGAGCGAAAAGUUUCGCGACCAUAGAAUGUACACAAAUAAACCUACUCACAGAAGACACCCAGCCUUUUUUGACGGACUGCAUGCUAUCGGCUUCAGCAACCCCUUGCACAGUUUGAGCCUUAGCGGUUGCGCGACAAAGUUCGCUCGCGUCACCUCCUCGUGUCUUGUCUUCAGCACUGCACAUCUUUUGGUAUUGAUGGCGACGUUACCGUCUCGGUUCACGAAAUCCUUGCGUUUAUUGCCUCUGCUUGAACUCAGCAUUGCAGGGAUUGCUAGAGGUCCUGCCUUCUAUGAAAUCAAAGUCUCGUUAUCGUCUCGUUGAGCAAACACAUUUUCUCGCCUUUUUCCGUUCUUCUUCUUUAUCACUCGCUCUUCUUCGGUUGGUGGUCGGCGUGAAGAGGAUCUUUUUUUUCGUUCCUUUUUUGUGGAACCCGGCGACACCGGGCCUCCAGGAUCCUUGACGUCCGUGACCAUACCUAUUCCUCGGAUUUUUUUUAUUUGAAAAUGAACGCACUUCUUUAUGCCCUUAGAUGAGGGCCUUCCUGGAGCGAGCAGGAUUUGCGGAACAAAAACUACUUGUGCCCCGGUGUGUCACCGUGCAGAACGCUCCAGGGACUCGCCCAGUGGAGCGAUCAUUAUGUUAAAGGAUACAAAACACUCCUUCGAUGAGGUUGAAACACGUAGAGCACGGAGGAAUGAAAAGCAGCGCUAUCUGGAUAGAAUCUGCAAAAACUCGAACGCAUCGGAAAUGGUGCAAUGCCACGUUUUCCAGUAGAGGGAAGUCGGCGGACGUCAGGGAAAAGUCUUCAAUGAUUCGAAUUUGCGGGUGCUGUUGUAUGAGUCUCCUGUACGAGCGAAACUGAGGCCGUCAAAUGGAUCAACUGCAGCUAGAAUAGACGAUGAUGUCCUCGUUCUCCUCGAGAUCGAUCGCACAUACAACGAGCCCCCUCUUUUUGAAUACCCAUAUACGCUUCGGCCGUUUCGUCCAAAGCAAGUCUCAUUUACCGGCGAAACAAACCGCCAUUCCCGUGCUUCAUACCGAUCGCGACGUUUCAGGGAUGCUGUCGUAGCGAUUUCGAUGGACGAUGGUCGUGCAUGAGCUAGGACUCUUUUUUUGCGACUGUAUCCCAGUGUUUUCAGUACCACAUGAACAAGUUUUUGAGAAACAGAUACACUCUUGGCGGCUACUAUCGUCGCUUUUGCCUCCCGCAGGGUGAUCAACGGGUCGUAUUUCCACCAUGGACCGCAAAGAGUCUUUAAGAAUAUGGCUCUUGGCGCGGAGCGCGUAUCCUGUGAUCUUUCAGUGAUCCUCAACUAUCUGAGAACUGCCGUAUGACUGACCUAAAAGAAAAAUACGGUCCCCC
rnacentral:misc_RNA from 1 species